AGUGUUGUUAUGGAGAUGCGAAGCGUACAGUUUAGCACUAUGUAGUGUUAGUAUUUUAUUUGUGAGUCUUUGCUACGAAACUGUGUAUGUGAAUCGAAAGGAAACUUAACCCUAGAACAACCAUGUUUAAUGAAACAUUCAAAUCCUCCAGUAUCUUCUUGAAACUGAGUUUGAUUCCUGCAUUUCUGGGAUUUAUUAACCAUCUUGUUUCUUUCGCUUCCUCCAACUGGCGAGUGAUUGAAAGUCCGGUACCAUUACUGAAGAUCUACCCCCACGUAGAAAAUACCUAUUGUGGUCUCUGGAACUGUUUUUCAUGUUUGUCCAACAAUGCAAAGUGUGAGUCGGCAGUGUUUCCGCUAGAAGAUGCUAUCGUGGUCACAAGAGUAUUCCGUCACAUGAUUUUGUACAUAUUGGAACGCUUUUGAUCAGCAUCUCAACAGGAGGCUGCGUACUGAUCGGUGUAGUGGUUUAUGGCUCCUCUACUAGCGACCACGACUCGAAUCUACACGCAGAGCACAGUCUUCAUUGGUCCUAUUUUCUGUGUGCAGUGGCAUUUUUUAUGUAUUUUAUUAAUGGUUUGCUAUUGUUUUUAAAUGUACUACGAAUAAAAACAUCGUAAAUUUG
rnacentral:misc_RNA from 1 species